rnacentral:rRNA from 1 species
GACGAACCGUACGAACGUUAUUCGGUGUCACUGGGCUUAAAGGGUGCGUAGGCGGCGGACAAAGUUGGGUGUGAAAUCCCUCGGCUUAACCGAGGAAUGGCGCUCAAAACUAGUUCGCUCGAGGGAGAUAGAGGUGAGCGGAACUUACGGUGGAGCGGUGAAAUGCGUUGAUAUCGUAGGGAACACCAGUUGCGAAAGCGGCUCACUGGGUCUCUUCUGACGCUGAGGCACGAAAGCUAGGGUAGCGAACGGG